rnacentral:rRNA from 1 species
CCUACGGGGUGCAGCAGUGGGGAAUAUUGGACAAUGGGCGAAAGCCUGAUCCAGCCAUGCCGCGUGUGUGAAGAAGGCCUUCGGGUUGUAAAGCACUUUCAGUGGGGAAGAAAGCCUUGGGGCUAAUACCCUCGAGGAAGGACAUCACCCACAGAAGAAGCACCGGCUAACUCCGUGCCAGCAGCCGCGGUAAUACGGAGGGUGCGAGCGUUAAUCGGAAUUACUGGGCGUAAAGCGCGCGUAGGCGGUCUGAUAAGCCGGUUGUGAAAGCCCCGGGCUCAACCUGGGAACGGCAUCCGGAACUGUCAGGCUAGAGUGCAGGAGAGGAAGGUAGAAUUCCCGGUGUAGCGGUGAAAUGCGUAGAGAUCGGGAGGAAUACCAGUGGCGAAGGCGACCUUCUGGACUGACACUGACGCUGAGGUGCGAAAGCGUGGGUAGCAAACAGGAUUAGAUACCCCAGUUC